CAGCACACACGCGCGCGCAGAACUCAUCGUCCCUGCACCAACAUUACCGUACAAAAAGUCGUGGGCUCCCUCCCGUGGACCUGUACAUCAUCGUCAUUAGAGAACGCCCGUUUCCACCCACCGCCUCUCUCUCCCCCCACUACGCACACACACCGCCUUCGUAGCUGCAGCGUCACCUCCCACAGCAGAAGGAUGAACGGGUGGUUGAUUGCGUUGAUCGUGAUGGGGUGCCUCAGCACGCUCUACUUAGCCAUUGGCAUCGCCGUCCGCUACCACAGCGGUCUGCACCACUGCCCAGAGGUGCUGCCCAACUACCGCUUCUGGUGCAGCAUCCUGAACGUUUUCUUGCGCGUGGCAACAUGCGGUCGCUGUCGCGUUUCGAUUGACCGCAGCAACCGUGCAAGCGGCAUCUUUGUGCUGCCAAGUCGCCCCGGCGCCGCGGCGUCUCCGCGGAGGGUGCAGUUCGAGCUAUUAGCCAGCGACGCCGAUGACGACUACGACAUCAAUCGUGCCAUGCAGCCGGCGGAGGUAGUGGUGAAGUACUGAGGGGCUGCAUGGACAAGGGCACACGCGCUUUAUUCAAUGUGACGUGAAGGGCGGAAGAAGUGAACCAGAGACCAACACGUGUAGCCAGAGAAAAUGGGGUGUCGGUGACCAUCAGGAGGAGGAGGAGAGGGCGGGCUUCCUUCCUCCACCCCGCCUUGAUGGUUUAGGGGGGUGUACACCACUCUCUCUCUCAGUGUGUGUGUGUGUGUGUGUGUGUGUCGGUGGCAUGACCUACGGGGUAUCCACUUCCUUCGUCUCCCUCAGUCGGUGUGCCCCCUUCCCACUUGAGUUUCUCGCUUAGUUUUUGUUGCUGGUCGCAUGAUGCUGCUUCUCGUUUUUAGGUUGCUGGCAAAUGCGCAUGCAUGUGUGCCUGCGGGCGGGGUUUGGAAGCGAAGUUGGAGAGAAGGGGGAGGCAUCCUUCCCACCCCGUCGGCGCGGCCUGUCGGCCACCCCUUUCCUUUGCUGGUUGCUUGCUUCCACGGCUCUGGCUCGAGUAUGUUCUUUCCGGUGCAAGUGCGUCGGUGCAUGUGUGUGAAGGCAUGGGAAUGGGGGGUUAGGGAUGAGGGGUCCCCAUCUCCCUCACCCCACACCUUUAAAGCGUCUCACCGCAGCCCCAAGCACUCCAUCCACGUAUCACCCUUCUCUCUCGCCGCCCCUCUCCUGCUGUGCCAG
rnacentral:misc_RNA from 1 species